rnacentral:rRNA from 1 species
AGAGAGAGACAUGCGCGCAUAUCAAUAAGCGGAGGAAAAGAAACUAACUAGGAUUCCCUCAGUAACGGCGAGUGAAGCGGGAAGAGCUCAAAUUUGAAAUCUUCAAGGGUUCUACCUUUACGAAUUGUAGUUUAAAGAAGUGUUUUCUGUUGGAGUUUCGGUAAAAGUUCUUUGGAAUAGGACAUCAUAGAGGGUGAGAAUCCCGUAUUUGACCAUUAUUUCCAGCUUUGUGAUACACUUUCAAAGAGUCGGAUUGUUUGGGAAUGCAGUCCAAAAUGGGUGGUAAAUUUCAUCUAAAGCUAAAUACUUGGCGAGAGACCGAUAGCGAACAAGUACCGUGAGGGAAAGAUGAAAAGAACUUUGAAAAGAGAGUUAAACAGUACGUGAAAUUGUCAAAAGGGAAGCGUUUGACACCAGUGUUGUUUUCUCGAAAAUCAAUUAAAAAAAGGCAGGAUUUUGUGUUGUAUUGACUUUAUCAGCUUUCUGCACUCUUUUCUUGUCUUUUUUAAUGCACUUUUCGUUUAACAAGUCAACAUCAAUUUCUUUUGUUGUAAAAGGGUCAUUGGAAGGUGGCUUUUCUUUUCGGAGAAAGUGUUUAUAGCCUUUGGCCUCUGCAAUCGGAGAGAUUGAGGUCUGCAGCGUAGAUCCUUCGGGGUUAGAUACAUUUGUGCUAAGUUAUAGCCUUUCAUAGACAACUUGUUGACUAUGAUCAGUCAUGUAGCUUACUCGCUUAUGCUAUUUUACCUACGCUUAGGAUGUUGAUGUGAUACUGCGAGCA